GCUCUUCCCUCUUCUCUCGGAUCCCACUCUCUCUGUGCUUCUUUCUCAGCUCUGUGUAAAUGAGUUUUACGUUUAGGAAAGGAAAGGGGGGAAACUAGGGGUGCGGCUGAGUGUGGUGAGGGAGUGAGGGUUAGGGUUUUCAAUUUGGGAAAUUAGGGUUUCUGAAUUGAAUUUGGGAAUUAGGGUUAGAAAUUAGGAUUUUAUAAA
rnacentral:lncRNA from 1 species